rnacentral:rRNA from 1 species
UACGAAGGGGGCUAGCGUUGUUCGGAAUUACUGGGCGUAAAGAGCGUGUAGGCGGCCAGGUAGGUCUGCUGUGAAAACUCGAGGCUCAACCUCGAGACGUCGGCGGAAACCAUCUGGCUAGAGUCCGGAAGAGGAGAGUGGAAUUCCUGGUGUAGCGGUGAAAUGCGCAGAUAUCAGGAGGAACACCGAUGGCGAAGGCAGGUCUCUGGGCUGACACUGACGCUCAUGCACGAAAGCGUGGGGAGCAAACAGG